rnacentral:rRNA from 1 species
GGGGAAUUUUCCGCAAUGGGCGAAAGCCUGACGGAGCAAUACCGCGUGAGGGAUGACGGCCUAUGGGUUGUAAACCUCUUUUUUCAGGGAGGAAUCAAUGACGUGUACUUGAAGAAUAAGCAUCGGCUAACUCCGUGCCAGCAGCCGCGGUAAGACGGAGGAUGCAAGUGUUAUCCGGAAUCACUGGGCGUAAAGCGUCUGUAGGUGGUCAAAUAAGUCAACUGUUAAAUCUUGAGGCUCAACCUCAAAAUCGCAGUCGAAACUAUUAGACUAGAGUAUAGUAGGGGUAAAGGGAAUUUCCAGUGGAGCGGUGAAAUGCGUAGAUAUUGGAAGGAACACCGAUGGCGAAGGCACUUUACUGGGCUAUUACUAACACUCAGAGACGAAAGCUAGGGUAGCAAAUGGGAUUAGAUACCCCAGUAGUC